ensembl:lncRNA
GUAUGAGUAAAGAGUAAAAUGAACUAAAAACUGCCUCUGGGUAGAAGAUGAGUGGUGGGUUUUGCUGCUGCUGUUCCUUUCAGUGUGAAAUCUUGAAACACAACAUGAAAAUGGAAUAAACAUGUUUCACCUGCACAGUAUGCAUGUUUCAUUACUUGUUGUAGAAUAAUGGGGGAACAAUAUUCAGAUUAAAAACAGGCCUUGUAAUUUGUUACAUAAAUGUUUAUUGUGCAGUCAUGCAUCAAUGGGUAUUAAACAGUCCUAAUAUAGCAGUCUAAACACAGUAAUAGAAUGAAGAUAAUCAUAAUUGUAGCUCUUGAUAAAACAAAGAGUAAGAUUAGUGUCAGUGACGCUAUGUGAACAAAGACUCAUUAAGUCGAGAUCAGAUGGAGCGGAAACCGUAUAGUCUUUGUCCUUGCUCAAUAAUUGAACCAAGCUGGAGGAGAACAGCAGGGAUCCAGUCUAAUUUGUUUACAAGAUGAACUGACAACGGACGAUUUAAGGAGUGCCACAACAUGAAGUUUCCAUUUGCUGUAGAGAAAUACACUUUGUUUCUUUAAGCACUGCUCUCCUUUUUUUUUUUUUUUUUUUGCAACACUGCAGCGUCCUGAACUGUAACAAUGGCCAGAAAUAGACUAUAACAUUCUGAACAGUAGUAAUCAAUAAUGCUCAUUCAGGUUUAAUUCACAUAAAUGUCCCUUAACAAUUUCUGACGUUCCUACUCUGUCAGCUCUGAGCUCCAGGACCUACUCCGGGGGUCUUGAAAAAUGGUUUCAUCCUUUGACUAAGAGAUUUUUGAAAAGGUUACUUAGAACUCGAUUUCAUUGUGUAUUCACUGGGUGCCAUUUUCAGCUGUAGAUUAUUUAACAUUUGGUGCCCUCGUGAAGCCUUCUGGCAGCAAGGCGAAUUUCACCUUUGCAGGCCUGUCAUGUUUAAGCUGACACUUAGAGAACUGGACUUGAAUAGGUUAUUUUUCUCUGUUUAUGGUGUUCGAGAUGGAAGUCAGUCCAGAUCAUCCGCUUGUUAUUUCAUUCAUAAUAUUUAACAAGAGAGGUUCAUGUAUAUUACUAGAUAUGUACUCUAGUCCCUCCUUAACAAGUGGGCCAGUCUGAACAAAACAUAAAAUUUUAUUAACAAAUAUAUGUUUUUAAAAACGAUUUAUUUGAUUUAUUUUUUUUUAAUUUCUGUUUAUUCCCUUAUGAAUGUGAUGUGAUGUUCUGCAAUUGCAACUGUUUCAUUGGCCCAUACAUAGCUUAAUGAUCACUGAAAUGUG